AUUGAACGCUGGCGGAAUGCUUUACACAUGCAAGUCGAACGGUAGAGGGGGCAACCCCUUGAGAGUGGCGAACGGGUGAGUAAUAUAUCGGAACGUGCCCAGUCGUGGGGAUAACGUAGCGAAAGUUACGCUAAUACCGCAUACGAUCUAAGGAUGAAAGCGGGGGAUCGCAAGACCUCGCGCGAUUGGAGCGGCCGAUAUCAGAUUAGGUAGUUGGUGAGGUAAAGGCUCACCAAGCCAACGAUCUGUAGCUGGUCUGAGAGGACGACCAGCCACACUGGAACUGAGACACGGUCCAGACUCCUACGGGAGGCAGCAGUGGGGAAUUUUGGACAAUGGGCGCAAGCCUGAUCCAGCAAUGCCGCGUGCAGGAUGAAGGCCCUUCGGGGUUUCGGUUAAAAC
rnacentral:rRNA from 1 species